CUACGGGACGCUGCAGUGGGGAAUUUUGCGCAAUGGGGGAAACCCUGACGCAGCAAUACCGCGUGAGUGAAGAAGGCCUUUGGGUCGUAAAGCUCUUUUCUUGGGGAAGAUAGUGACGGUACCCAAGGAAUAAGCACCGGCUAACUCCGUGCCAGCAGCCGCGGUAAUACGGAGGGUGCAAGCGUUGUUCGGAUUUACUGGGCGUAAAGGGCACGUAGGCGGCACAGCAAGUUAAGGGUGAAAUCCCGGGGCUCAACUCCGGAACUGCUCUUAAAACUGCUGAGCUAGAGAUAGUCAGAGGCGGGUGGAAUUCCAGGUGUAGAGGUGAAAUUCGUAGAUAUCUGGAGGAACACCGGUGGCGAAGGCGGCCCGCCGGGGCUAUUCUGACACUAAGGUGCGAAAGCGUGGGGAGCAAACGGGAUUAGAUACCCCCGUAGUC
rnacentral:rRNA from 1 species